AGGCGCGUAUCGUUCGCGUGCAAUUUUCCAGAAGCCCGAAGAGCCCGGCGAGCGACAGACGGCUAUGUGUACAUGGCGGUAAUUAAAUUCAACGUAGCAGUACAGCGAUUCGUGUGCGUUUACCUUAGUUGGUAUCCCAGUACCGUAUUUCUUCGGUCAGUUCGACCGCACAGCGAGAACGUAUUCGACGCAACGCCGAAAAUAAAAUCAACAUUAAAUAGUAAAAUGUCGAAUUCGAUAGCUACUUACAAUGACAAUAAA